GGAAGGUUGCAGCUGAGUGGUAGAGCAUCUGCCUUGCACACAGAAGGUCAUGGGCUCAAUUCCUGGCAUCUCCA